GGCCUUUUGAUAAUUAUAAUUUAAGGUCAGGCCUGCUCAAUGAAUUAUUUAAAUAGCCGCAGUAUUAUGACUGUGCUAAGGUAGCAUAAUCAUUAGCCUUUUAAUUGGGGGCUGGAAUGAAGGGUUUAAUGAAAAAACAGCUGUCUCUUUUGUUUAAAUAAAACUUUAUUUUUAAGUUAAAAAGCUUAAAUAUUGUUAAAAGACGAGAAGACCCUAUAGAGUUUUAAGCUUAUUUCUAUUAACUUACUUAGUAAAAUUUAUUAAUGUAUAUUGCAUAUAAGCUUUUAAUUGGGGUGAUUGUAAAAUAAAUAAAACUUUUAUUUUUAAUUAACAUUAAUUAAUGGUUUAUUAUGAUCCAAAAGUUUUUGAUUAUAAGAAUAAAUUACCUUAGGGAUAACAGCGUAAUCUUUUUUGAGAGUUCAUAUCGAUGAAAGGGGUUGCGACCUCGAUGUUGGAUUAAAAUUUACUUUUAGGGGCAGUUUCUUAUUAGUUGGGUCUGUUCGACCUUUAAAAUUUUACA
rnacentral:rRNA from 1 species